ACUUCCUGUCAAUGAACAAAAAUAUUGUUUGUGAAACUAAAUUCUUUUUCAUCUAGUAUUUGUAGGAAAGAUGUAUUUUUCAAGAACCAACAACAAAACUUAAUUGUAUAUCUGAAUCGAUUGUACUCUCUACAGUUGAAGACGAGAUAUCAACUCUAAUGUAUUGUGAAGAAAAUUUAUCUUUCAAGUUUUCAAAUUAAGAACGCUAUCAGUCUUGUAUUUAAAAGAUGUCCCGUCUUAUCUUCCUGCAGAAGAAAAACAAAGACGAAUUAUAUCACGUAGUCGAAGGCCGACAGAGACAGUCUGAAAGUUGUGCAGGGAGCAUUUUUAAUGAAUAAGGUGUAUUCGAGGAGAAACAAUUUUGAAAAACGACUUUCUUUGUUUCGGAGCCAUUAACGACUAAUUGCUACGUUUUAAAUUUUAAGAAAGCAAUGGCUUCGUAAACAGUUUUAAUGUCUUUAAUGUUGGACCGCAGGAGAUGAUAAUCGUCAGAAACUCUACGAGUUUUCAUAUUUAUGAUCUACUGGGCGUUUCUCGGCAAUGAAACAGAAACUUUGUGGUCAUUAUUGAAAUACUUGAACAAAUAUACUUGCUUCAGAAAAAAGAUGAAAAAAAUGUAUGGAUGAUUUCAUUUCAUUCCAGACAUAUUAGCAUGCCAGUAUGUCUGGUAUUGAAAACGCUAUCAAAACUGACACCAGCAAUUUUGGACAUAUACAAAAAAUAAUAAAAAAAUUCUUCAUCAG